ensembl:snRNA U6 U6 spliceosomal RNA
GUGCUUGCUUCGGCAGCGCGUAUACUGCAAUCGGAAAGAUACAGAGAUUAGUAUGGCUCCUGCACAAGGAUGACAUGCAAAUUUGUAAAAGCAUUCCAUACUUUU